GUGAGGAAUUUUCCGCAAUGGGCGAAAGCCUGACGGAGCAAUGCCGCGUGAAGGAUGAAGGCCUAUGGGUUGUAAACUUCUUUUCUCAGAAAAGAAUUAUGACGGUAUCUGAGGAAUAAGCAUCGGCUAACUCUGUGCCAGCAGCCGCGGUAAGACAGAGGAUGCAAGCGUUAUCCGGAAUGAUUGGGCGUAAAGCGUCUGUAGGUUGUUUAAAAAGUAUUCUGUCAAAGAUUAGGGCUUAACCCUAGAUAGGCAGAAUAAACUUUUAAGCUAGAGUUUGGUAGAGGCAGAGGGAAUUCCCGGUGAAGCGGUGAAAUGCGUAGAUAUCGGGAGGAACACCAAAGGCGAAGGCACUCUGCUGGGCCAAUACUAACACUGAGAGACGAAAGCGAGGGGAGCAAAUGGGAUUAGAAACCCUUGUAGUCC
rnacentral:rRNA from 1 species